rnacentral:rRNA from 1 species
GAUGAACGCUGGCGGCGUGCCUAAUACAUGCAAGUCGAGCGAAAGGACGAGAAGCUUGCUUCUCUGAUGUUAGCGGCGGACGGGUGAGUAACACGUGGAUAACCUACCUAUAAGACUGGGAUAACUUCGGGAAACCGGAGCUAAUACCGGAUAAUAUUUUGAACCGCAUGGUUCAAAAGUGAAAGACGGUCUUGCUGUCACUUCUAGAUGGAUCCGCGCUGCAUUAGCUAGUUGGUAAGGUAACGGCUUACCAAGGCAACGAUGCAUAGCCGACCUGAGAGGGUGAUCGGCCACACUGGAACGGAGACACGGUCCAGACUCCUACGGGAGGCAGCAGGAGGGAAUCGUCCGCAAUGGGCGAAAGCCUGACGGAGCAACGCCGCGUGAGGGAUGAAGGUCUUCGGAUCGGAAAACUCGGUUAUUAGGGUAGAACAUAUGUGUAAGUAACUGUGCACAUCUUGACGGUACAUAAGCAGAAAGCCACGGCUAACUACGUGC